rnacentral:lncRNA from 1 species
ACGGCCCCAUAAAUGUAGCAUGAGUGCGAGCUUGAAAUUUGUAACAUGAGAUGAAAACUGGAGAAGCAUCCCUAAAAUAUAUGAACCAAUCUGCCUAGAAAUAGCUAGGAAUCUGCCACCAGAAAGAUGAAUAAAAUAAAAGAUUGAAGAAGUAGCAAGUAGCAGUAUGGAAGACUUGUGGCUAAGAAGACACUUCGCACUGUUAUGCACCAGGAGGAUUGACUGUCUCUGUGGCUUGGAGGCAGUUAUACGUAGCAGCAGCAGCAGCAGCAGCAGCAAAAGUUAACAGGAGCCGGAGUCUGUCUUCAAAGAGCAGUCAGUAGAGAUGAAGAGUAGAUUACUGAUUCCAUAGUACAUGUCAGAUACUGCCUAGGGACUUCCUAAGUAGAGGUCAAGGUCCCACUGUUAUACAGUGUAUAAAUUCACAGAAGUCAGAAGCUGAAUGCAGUCACAAAGAGAGCAAAGCACUUUGUAAAGUGAACUCAAUACCCCCGUUGGGGCUCAGAAAACAGUACCCCAAAGUGAAGUCCUCAGAAGCAGCCCCAAAAGAACCCCGCCUUUUUGUGUAACAGUUGGCCAUAAAGAAAUUAAGACCUUCAUUCCAGAGAGUCCUAUUGCAUGCCUGAGAGGGAGGAAGGCUGCACAGAGACGCCAAGAAGCUGGACAGUCCUUGCUGGGUUUCCCCACUCAGUCUUUAAGCAUUCGAUCAUACCCCUUCUGUCCAGUUGUAUUUUACAUGGCUGUCCAUACAUCAUUGAAUGUCAGUGUAAAAAUGGAUUGUUUUCCCUGUAUCUUUGGGUCUUUAUUCUGAAGUCUCUUUUAAAACUAUGAUCAAAUAAAUUUGUAUGCCUUUUCUCCUAUUAA